UAGGGGCAGCAUGAACCGACCUUCGGGAAGGUUUGAUGGCGACCCGGCGCAAGGGUGCGUAACGCCGUGAGCAACUUGCCCGUUUCUGGGGAAUAACCGGGUGGAAACGCCGACUAAUACCCCAUAGCAUCAACUUAGGGCAUCCUUAGUUGAUUAAGAAUUUCGGAAACGGAUGGGGAUGCCGUGACAUUAGAUAGUAGGCGGGGUAACGGCCCACCUAGUCUACGAUGUCUAGGGGUUCUGAGAGGAAGGUCCCCCACACUGGAACUGAGACACGGGUCCAGACUCCUACGGGAGGCAGCAGUGAGGAAUAUUGGUCAAUGGUCGGAAGACUGAACCAGCCAAGUAGCGUGAAGGAUGAAGGUUCUAUGGAUUGUAAACUUCUUUUAUACGGGAAUAAACCUCCCACGUGUGGGAGCUUGUAUGUACCGUAUGAAUAAGCAUCGGCUAACUCCGUG
rnacentral:rRNA from 1 species